rnacentral:rRNA from 1 species
UGGGGAAUAUUGCACAAUGGGCGAAAGCCUGAUGCAGCAACGCCGCGUGAGUGAUGAAGGUCUUCGGAUUGUAAAGCUCUGUCUUUUGGGACGAUAAUGACGGUACCAAAGGAGGAAGCCACGGCUAACUACGUGCCAGCAGCCGCGGUAAUACGUAGGUGGCGAGCGUUGUCCGGAUUUACUGGGCGUAAAGGGUGCGUAGGCGGAUGUUUAAGUGAGAUGUGAAAUACCCGGGCUUAACUUGGGUGCUGCAUUUCAAACUGGAUAUCUAGAGUGCAGGAGAGGAGAAUGGAAUUCCUAGUGUAGCGGUGAAAUGCGUAGAGAUUAGGAAGAACACCAGUGGCGAAGGCGAUUCUCUGGACUGUAAUUGACGCUGAGGCACGAAAGCGUGGGUAGCAAACAGGAUUAGAUACCCUGGUAGUCCACGCCGUAAACGAUGAGUACUAGGUGUAGGAGGUAUCGACCCCUUCUGUGCCGCAGUAAACACAUUAAGUACUCCGCCUGGGAAGUACGAUCGCAAGAUUAAAAC